rnacentral:tRNA from 1 species
GGCGAGUUCGUCUAUCGGUUAGGACGGUGCGUUCUCAACGCUCAGAGAAGGGUUCGACUCCCUUACUCGCUGCCA